GUGCUUGCUUCGGCAGCACAUAUACUAAAAUUGGAAUGAUACAGAGAAGAUUAUCAUGGCCCCUGCGCAAGGAUGACAUGCAAAUUCAUGAAGCUUUCCAUAUUAAA
ensembl:snRNA U6 U6 spliceosomal RNA